UGGGGGAUAUUGCACAAUGGGCGAAAGCCUGAUGCAGCGACGCCGCGUGGGGGAUGAAGGCUUUCGGGUUGUAAACCUCUUUCGCUAUCGAACAAGGCCCGCUUAGGGUGGGUUGAGGGUAGGUGGAGAAGAAGCGCCGGCUAACUACGUGCCAGCAGCCGCGGUAAUACGUAGGGCGCGAGCGUUGUCCGGAAUUAUUGGGCGUAAAGGGCUUGUAGGCGGCUUGUUGCGCCUGCUGUGAAAACGCGGGGCUUAACUUCGCGCGUGCAGUGGGUACGGGCAGGCUUGAGUGUGGUAAGGGUGACUGGAAUUCCAGGUGUAGCGGUGGAAUGCGCAGAUAUCUGGAGGAACACCGAUGGCGAAGGCAGGUCACUGGGCCAUUACUGACGCUGAGGAGCGAAAGCAUGGGUAGCGAACAGG
rnacentral:rRNA from 1 species